rnacentral:rRNA from 1 species
UACGAAGGGUGCAAGCGUUACUCGGAAUUACUGGGCGUAAAGCGUGCGUAGGUGGUUUGUUAAGUCUGUUGUGAAAGCCCCGGGCUCAACCUGGGAAUGGCAAUGGAUACUGGCAAGCUAGAGUGCGGUAGAGGGUAGUGGAAUUCCCGGUGUAGCGGUGAAAUGCGUAGAGAUCGGGAGGAACACCAGUGGCGAAGGCGGCUACCUGGACCAGCACGGACACUGAGGCACGAAAGCCAGGGGAGCAAACGGG